rnacentral:RNase_P_RNA from 1 species
CGAGUAAGCCAGACAAUCGCUGCUGAGAAAUCAGGAGAGGAAAGUCCGAGCUCCAUAGGGCAGGGUGCUGGGUAACUCCCAGUGAAGGCGACUUUAAGGAAAGUGCAACAGAGAUAUACCGCCCAGGCAAUGGGUAAGGGUGGAAAGGCGAGGUAAGAGCUCACCAGCGCAAUGGCGACUUUGCGGCUAUGUAAACCCCAUCUGGAGCAAGAUCGAAAGUGGAACAUUAUGGGGCUGCCCGUCCCGUUCCCGGGUGUAUCGCUUGAGCCCAUUAGUAAUAAUGGGCCUAGAUAGAUGAUUGUCUAACACAGAACUCGGCUUAUAG